rnacentral:rRNA from 1 species
GAUGAACGCUGGCGGCGUGCCUAAUACAUGCAAGUCGAGCGAACAGACGAGGAGCUUGCUCCUCUGACGUUAGCGGCGGACGGGUGAGUAACACGUGGAUAACCUACCUAUAAGACUGGGAUAACUUCGGGAAACCGGAGCUAAUACCGGAUAAUAUAUUGAACCGCAUGGUUCAAUAGUGAAAGACGGUUUUGCUGUCACUUAUAGAUGGAUCCGCGCCGCAUUAGCUAGUUGGUAAGGUAGCGGCUUACCAAGGCAACGAUGCGUAGCCGACCUGAGAGGGUGAUCGGCCACACUGGAACUGAGACACGGUCCAGACUCCUACGGGAGGCAGCAGUAGGGAAUCUUCCGCAAUGGGCGAAAGCCUGACGGAGCAACGCCGCGUGAGUGAUGAAGGUCUUCGGAUCGUAAAACUCUGUUAUUAGGGAAGAACAAAUGUGUAAGUAACUAUGCACGUCUUAACGGUACCUAAUCAGAAAGCCACGGCUAACUACGUG